rnacentral:rRNA from 1 species
GAGUGAUCUGUCUGCUUAAUUGCGUUUCAUAUUUACGAAUGUCGCUUACGUGAUUGCUGCAGACCUCGCGUCUCUUUAUUGAGUUGCGACGCGUCUCUUCAACUCACUCGCACAUUCUCUUGAACGCAACGAGCGUGACCGCAACCUCUUGUUGUGUAUACCAAGUGUGUCGUUGCUUGCAACUCACACUCCAAUGCACGUAUUUUGGUCACAUUGUC